rnacentral:rRNA from 1 species
UACAGAGGUCCCGAGCGUUGUUCGGAUUCACUGGGCGUAAAGGGUGCGUAGGUGGUGAGGUAAGUCGGAUGUGAAAGCUCGGAGCUCAACUCCGAAAUGGCAUUGGAAACUACCUUGCUCGAGGGUUGGAGGGGGACUGGAAUUCUCGGUGUAGCAGUGAAAUGCGUAGAUAUCGAGAGGAACACCAGUGGCGAAGGCGAGUCCCUGGACAACUCCUGACACUGAGGCACGAAAGCUAGGGGAGCAAACAGG